ACUUUGAAUAAGAUAGUGAAGGAACUAUCAAGAAAAAUAUUUUGAAAAGUAUGGGGAAGUCUUGGAAGGAAGCAAGGCUAAGGUUGUAUGGUGAUUUUUAUGAGCCAACAUUCAUGAUGGAACAAAAUAUUGAGCAGCAUCCGCCGGGAAUUGAUCGAGAGCAUUGGAGAUGGUUCCUUGAGUAUCACGCCAAAGCUGAGAUGAAGGAGAAGUGUAGAAAAAAAAACGCGAUUAAUCGAUCAAAAUAACUAUAUACCCACACUGGCGGAUCGAAAAGCUUUGCACGGCGGAUGGAAGAAGAGUCGGAACAACAAGGAAGAAGAGUCGGUAGAGGAGAGUUAUGGAUCACAGUGCACAAAAAAAAGGAUGGCUCCUAUAUAUAUGAGGAAGCAAGAGCAAUUGGUGUAAGUACUACUUAUUAUAAUUGAUCAAUAAAGUUAUGAUCUCAAAUAGGGUUAUAGUCGACUUCUCUAUUUUAUUUUGUUUUUCAUUUCUUUACUGAAUGGUUUACUCCCCUAUGUCAAGAUGGACCAAAAGAACUUUACUAUUUCCAAUUCACCUUACUUUUAAUUAUUGUUACAAAUUUACCUUGCUAUGUUUCUAGACAUUUUCAACUUCGAUGUAACUUAGAGACAGUUGGGGUAGAAUUUAAAUGAUUCAGUUUCACUUAUCCUUUAUUUCUUUUUAUAGUGGUUGGCAUCCUAUGAAACAAAUGCUCUAUUUUAGUUGUUUUACGUUGUUAUCUUUUGAGCCCCAAUUUUUAUCGUAACAUUUGUGUGUGUUUUACUGUGAUGAAAGUGAUAUAAUUAAUGUUCCUAUUUGGCGUGUUCUUGACAUGAGAUGGACCUAUCCACAAAAUGAUUGUAUGUGCUAAUUUGUGACUGUAGGAAAGAAUUGAGG